GACGAACGCUGGCGGCGUGCUUAACACAUGCAAGUCGAACGAAGUGGCGAACGGGUGAGUAACACGUGAGUAACCUGCUCUCUUCUUUGGGAUAACGGUCGGAAACGGCUGCUAAUACUUGAUAGUGGGGGAUGGGCUCGCGGCCUAUCGGCUUGUUGGUGGGGUGAUGGCCUCCCAAGGCUUUGACGGGUAACCGGCCUGAGAGGGUGACAGGUGACAUUGGGAAGGUGCUACGGCCCAGCGGGCGACGGGAGGGGGCAGUGGGGAAUUUUGGAGAAAGUGCGCAAGCCUGAUGCCGCGACGCCGCGUGAGGGAUGAAGGCCUUCGAGUUGUAAUCCUUUUUCGCUCAUGGUCGGGUAGUGGGAAAAGAAGCGCCGGCUAACUACGUGCCAGCCGCCGCGGUAAUAC
rnacentral:rRNA from 1 species